GAGUUUGAUCCUGGCUCAGGAUGAACGCUGGCGGCGUGCUUAACACAUGCAAGUCGAACGGGAAACCUUUUAUUGAAGCUUCGGCAGAUUUAGAUUGUUUCUAGUGGCGGACGGGUGAGUAACGCGUGGGUAACCUGCCUUAUACAGGGGGAUAACAGUCAGAAAUGACUGCUAAUACCGCAUAAGCGCACAGAGCUGCAUGGCUCAGUGUGAAAAACUCCGGUGGUAUAAGAUGGACCCGCGUUGGAUUAGCUAGUUGGUGGGGUAACGGCCCACCAAGGCGACGAUCCAUAGCCGGCCUGAGAGGGUGAACGGCCACAUUGGGACUGAGACACGGCCCAGACUCCUACGGGAGGCAGCAGUGGGGAAUAUUGCACAAUGGGGGAAACCCUGAUGCAGCGACGCCGCGUGAAGGAAGAAGUAUCUCGGUAUGUAAACUUCUAUCAGCAGGGAAGAAAAUGACGGUACCUGACUAAGAAGCCCCGGCUAACUACGUGCCAGCCGCCGCGGUAAUAC
rnacentral:rRNA from 1 species